rnacentral:rRNA from 1 species
UGGGGAAUAUUGCACAAUGGGCGAAAGCCUGAUGCAGCGACGCCGCGUGAGGGAUGACGGCCUUCGGGUUGUAAACCUCUUUCAGCAGGGAAGAAGCGAAAGUGACGGUACCUGCAGAAGAAGCGCCGGCUAACUACGUGCCAGCAGCCGCGGUAAUACGUAGGGCGCAAGCGUUGUCCGGAAUUAUUGGGCGUAAAGAGCUCGUAGGCGGUUAGUCGCGUCUGCUGUGAAAACUCGAGGCUCAACCUCGGGCUUGCAGUGGGUACGGGCUGACUAGAGUGCGGUAGGGGUGACUGGAAUUCCUGGUGUAGCGGUGGAAUGCGCAGAUAUCAGGAGGAACACCGAUGGCGAAGGCAGGUCACUGGGCCGCAACUGACGCUGAGGAGCGAAAGCAUGGGGAGCGAACAGGAUUAGAUACCCUGGUAGUCCAUGCCGUAAACGUUGGGCACUAGGUGUGGGGUCCAUUCCACGGAUUCCGUGCCGCAGCAAACGCAUUAAGUGCCCCGCCUGGGGAGUACGGCCGCAAGGCUAAAACUCAAAGGAAUUGACGGGGUCAUAGCUGUUCCU